UUUUUUUCCAUACAGUUAAUAAAGGAAUUCCGAGAUGAUGAGAUGGAACAUCAUGAUACAGGACUGGAGCACGAUGCUGAAUCUCUACCCGGAUACAAGCUUUUGAAGAGUGCAAUACAACUUGGCUGCACAGCAGCAAUAUUUGUGUCUCAGCGCCUAUAAAGUAAUAAUUAAUUAAGUUUCUCAAAGAUGGUUUUCUAAAAAAUAUAAUGAUUUAAGUGAUGUAAAUGGAUAUGUAAAUUGUAUUAGUAAAGUGAACCUGGCUACUUUAUACAAUGUAAUAGUCAGUGCACUUUCCCAAAAAAGGAUUCUCAUAAAAAAGAUAUGUUUUUUGUCCAAUUGUAACCUAGAUGUUGUCAUUUACUUCAAUGCUAGCACUAGCAGCCAAGCCAUAUAGGUACCAGCUCAAUGCUGAAACCUCUCUGAGUUGGCAUCCUAGAAUAAGCAAGUUGUCAAKGAGAUAUUGGUGUAAUUCUACRCUCUGUCUGGUCUAGGUGAUGGGGAUAGUGUGUUAUCCUGCUAUACUAAGGUAUUGUGGUCAUCACUGACAGAGCUGGAACCUACCUUCCUUAUCUAGUUCAUUUUGUAACAUCAUUACUUAGUAUCAAUGUACUACAUACUGUAAUUACCUAUCUGUUAGGUUUAAUUAUAUGAAUGAUUAAUCACCUUUCUACUGCAACCCCCCCCCCCCAUGCCUUUGUUAUUCCCCGAAAGAUACAUAUCUAACAUAGCUCUAACGAGGACAUAUCGAUAUUGGCAUUGUCACGCCAUCACCGUACCUUUCAACAAACUAUCCUCUUUCACACAUUAUGUGUCAUAAAUCACAAUGAACAAUGGCUUGUCAGUCCAGGUGAAUGGUUUAAGCCUCUUYCACAGCUGUUCCAGUACAUUAGAUCAGAGUGGAAGAAGGAUUGACAACUGACGGGUGCUGGCAGGGGGGUCUAGCUAAUCUAUGCUGUUCAGCGCUGCAGAGAAAAGUGUUCCGGUGGUUCAGUUUACUCCCCAGAGACCCCUGUAUUGACUAUAGGGAUUGAAGUGUCCUUUAUAGUAUGUUCUGUACUGACCUAGUGCCUGAGAUCUGCCCUAGCCACUUCAGAUGCAGUGUAUAGUACACAUCAGUUAGCACAGAGAGACGUAUUGACCUCCAUUCCACUUGCAAUGUCUACGACAGAAUGUAAAGUAGCAAAGAGAGAAUACAAGUAGCUGUGUUGUUGUUGGUGCAACAAAGAGGGUCAAAAGGAA